CUGACUCAUAUUAAUACUAAAGGUUUAAUUAAAAUAUUUCACAUAACCAAUAAUCAAGCCAAACAUAUUGUUUCUCAUUGUCCCACUUGUCAAUUAAGUAAUCAGCCUAAAUUUUCUGCAGGAGUUAAUCCUCAAGGUCUCUCACCAAAUGAAUUAAGGCAAAUGGAUGUUACACAUGUUCCUGAAUUUGGCAAGUUAGGUAUUGUACAUGUUUCUGUAGACAUUUAUUCUGGUCUUAUUAUGGGUACUCCAUCCUCUGGAGAAACUGUUAGACAUGUACUCUCACAUUUACACUCCUGUUUUGUAUGCAUGGUAGUCCUAGCCACCAUUAAAACUGACAAUGGCCCUGCUUACACUAGUCAUUCUUUUGCAGCUUUUUGUUUUUAAAUGGGACAUCAAGCACAUUACUGGCAUUCCUUAUAAUCCUCAAGGACAAGGUAUUGUAGAACAUACACAUCAAACUUUAAAGAAUCUGUUAUUAAAACAAAAGGGGGGAGGUAGACAAUCUCCCAAAGAUAGAAUAAAUCAAGGUUUUAUUUACCUUAAAUUUUUUGAAUAUUCAUGAGGAAGGUUAGUUAACAGCAAUAGAGAAGCAUUAGAAUGGGAGCUGAUAAUCAGACUCUUUCCCUCACCAGCCUAUCUGGUGGAAAGACGAUGUAGAAAAUAAAUGGAAAAAAGAAUGGGCAAAGGUGUGGGGGAGAGUUUUUGUAUUUUGACAGAUGACGGACAAACAGUCUGGAUUUCAAGCAAAAGAAUCAAGCCCAAAGUGGAAGACAUGUCCGGCACAGACCAUGACGUAGGGACAGCUGAAGAGAACAUACGAAGAAGCAGACGGGAUGUUGAACUGGACAUCUGUACCUAAAACAUCUGUAAAUGUUUUUCUUGCCAUCAUCUGCGUGUCUGGAGAAAACUCCGAAGAAGACAAGAAUCCAGAGACCAAUGCCUCGUUGUGAUGGCUGUUCAACUCCAUCAACUUUCUUCAAAAAAUAAAAAAGAGUUUGGCUUUUUUCCCAUUGACAAGAGUGAUGCCCAGAUGUGGGGCUCAGAGAAGACUCAGGACCGCUGAAGGAGUAGCCCAAACUCAGCAUUAGGAACAGGCAUGGCCAGCUUUUGGGCCUUCAAUCCCAAGGUUCUCCUUGGGCAGAGCUGAAUUCAUGAAUCGGGGCAGCCUCCAUUCUAUAAAAUAGAACCCGAGCUCCCACUGGGAAUGGCAGAGCGGUGGGUUUUGCACGGUGGGAACAGGAAACAGAACAAGAGGAAAAAAGUGGAUUGAAUAACGUCAGGUUAUUUCAAGGAGUGGGAGCAGCCGGAGGUCCUCACCAGACGCAGGUGCUGGCGCCAUGCUUCUCCUACAGCCUGCAGAACCCUGAGCUAAAUAAACCUGUCUUUGAUAUCAAUUAGCCAGCCUCAGCUUGCCUUUUUAGCAACACUAAACCGACAAAGGCAAGUAUGUAACCUUUUGGCACUCUCAGGA